rnacentral:rRNA from 1 species
GACGAACGCUGGCGGCGUGCUUAACACAUGCAAGUCGAGCGGUAAGGCCCUUUCGGGGGUACACGAGCGGCGAACGGGUGAGUAACACGUGGGUGACCUGCCCUCAGCUCUGGGAUAAGCCUGGGAAACCGGGUCUAAUACCGGAUAUGACUCCAUGACGCAUGUUGUGGGGUGGAAAGCCUUGUGCGGCUGAGGAUGGGCCCGCGGCCUAUCAGCUUGUUGGUGGGGNGAUGGCCUACCAAGGCGACGACGGGUAGCCGGCCUGAGAGGGCGACCGGCCACACUGGGACUGAGACACGGCCCAGACUCCUACGGGAGGCAGCAGUGGGGAAUAUUGGACAAUGGGCGAAAGCCUGAUCCAGCAACGCCGCGUGAGGGAUGACGGCCUCGG